AACGAACGCUGGCGGCAGGCUUAACACAUGCAAGUCGAGCGCCCCGCAAGGGGAGCGGCAGACGGGUGAGUAACGCGUGGGAAUCUACCCAUCUCUACGGAAUAACGCAUGGAAACGUGUGCCAAUACCGUACACGUCCUUCGGGAGAAAGAUUUAUCGGAGAGGGAUGAGCCCGCGUUGGAGUACCUAGUUGGUGGAGUAAAGGCCUACCAAGGCGACGAUCCAUAGCUGGUCUGAGAGGAUGAUCAGCCCCACUGGGACUGAGACACGGCCCAGACUCCUACGGGAGGCAGCAGUGGUGAAUAUUGGACAAUGGGCGCAAGCCUGAUCCAGCCAUGCCGCGUGAGUGAUGAAGGCCCUAGGGUUGUAAAGCUCUUUCACCGGUGAAGAUAAUGACGGUAACCGGAGAAGAAGCCCCGGCUAACUUCGUGCCAGCAGCCGCGGUAACAC
rnacentral:rRNA from 1 species